UGUUGUGACACUUUGGAACAACACCUGACUCUGUUCCUGCGCGCGCCAGCCGGAUGUUAUUAUUUUUUACGCAAUCUUUUGAAGAUCUGUUUGAAGAAUUUGUUCAAGGUAUCUUGCAGAAGAAGGCGCACGUGUUUAAUGUGUUUCAUGAGGCAGCUAAACCCUAGUUUUAUUUUCCAAAGGAAUUGUAUUUUUGGAAAAUAUAUUUUUGCGGUUUCAAAAAUAUAACUAUUGUUUUCAAAAAUAUAUCACUGCUGCCGCAAUUCUAGAAGCCCUAAUUUUGUCUUGAAGCCCAAGUCGUUCUACUACUAUAAAUACGAAGGCAUGCAUAUGGUUUCAAGCAUCUAAAAUCGUGUUCUUACAAAGCGUGUGUUUUAGGAUUUUAGAGUG
rnacentral:lncRNA from 1 species